rnacentral:rRNA from 1 species
UACGUAGGGUGCAAGCGUUGUCCGGAAUUAUUGGGCGUAAAGGGCUCGUAGGCGGCCAACUAAGUCGGACGUGAAAUCCCUCGGCUUAACCGGGGAACUGCGUCCGAUACUGGAUGGCUUGAGGUUGGGAGAGGGAUGCGGAAUUCCAGGUGUAGCGGUGAAAUGCGUAGAUAUCAGGAAGAACACCCGUGGCGAAGGCGGCUCUCUGGGACGGUACUGACGCUGAGACGCGAAAGCGUGGGGAGCGAACAGG